rnacentral:rRNA from 1 species
GUACGUAAGUAUGGCAUAAUGAACAAAUAACACUGAUUGUAAAGGUUAUUGAUAACGAAUAAAAGUUACGCUAGGGAUAACAGGGUAAUAUAGCGAAAGAGUAGAUAUUGUAAGCUAUGUUUGCCACCUCGCUGUCGACUCAUCAUUUCCUCUUGGUUGUAAAAGCUAAGAAGGGUUUGACUGUUCGUCAAUUAAAAUGUUACGUGAGUUGGGUUAAAUACGAUGUGAAUCAGUAUGGUUCCUAUCUGCUGAAGGAAAUAUUAUCAAAUUAAAUCUCAUUAUUAGUAC